UCACUGUCUCCUCAUCCUAAUUUACCAGCAGGACUCUAAACCUCUGUAUUAACUGUGUAUUUCUCUUCAGGCCAACUCAGUCAGGAACCGUAUGGACCUCCAACACAACUCCCAGUGUCAACAAGAAUCAAAACCAACCUGAGGCUCGUAUCUAUGAAUCUGUGAAUGACUCUGAAAACACUGGAAAAGAUGAGGAUGUCACAUAUUCUGUCAUUGAAC